AGCUUUGUACAGUGGCAGUAUCGUAGCCAAUGAAGUUUAUCUGGGGCAUGAUUAUUGCUAAUUGAAAACUAUUUCUUGUGAA
ensembl:snRNA U4 U4 spliceosomal RNA